rnacentral:miRNA from 1 species
UGGAAGUACUGCCUAAGUUUGA